rnacentral:lncRNA from 1 species
ACUUUUCCAUUCCAUCAAGUCUCUUCAAUCCUGUAAUUUGCAGAAAACAAAAAUAGCUUAUUUAAAAAGCACUUUUCAAAGCGCUUAAAAAACUGAAAAAUAACUAAACAAAUUACUUAAGUUUGAAACUUUACACAACAGGUUAACUUGAACAUCAAAAAAGACGCUUUUGAAAUUAACUUAAAACAGAAUAAACCAAAUCCCACAUAAUCUGGAUGAGAAAUUCAAAAAAGCAAGGAGUUUCUUAAGACUUAAUCUGGUCUUCAUAAAUUUGGGAGGAGAGGUUAACAGGGAUAGACAACACAGUAAGAAUUCUUCUCAAAACUAAACAGCAAAACAUAGCAAAGCAAUUUUUUUCCUCAAAAAACAAAAAAAACCUAAACCAGAAACCAUAGCAAGAACAGCAAACACAGCAAGAUAUACACAACAAAUUUUCUUUUUUUUUUCUCAAAAAAACCUAAAGAACAUAACAAACAAACAACAAUAACAGAAACGACGGUCGGUAAUCCUUCACCGACGAUUCACGAAUCGAUCAGUAAUCGAAGGAAAAGAGAGAAGAUAGAGUCGGGAAAGAAAAGAAAUAACAGAAGCAUAAGAGAGAAGCGAAAAAAACUCGACAAUACCUUUUCGGAAUUGAUUCGCUUCCGCUCUUCAUCUUUCGACUCGAGCAUCGUCGUUCUGCGUUCCAUCUUCAAGCCACGACCACGACGAUCUCCCACACCCUCUUCCGAUUCAGAAAAACCUAACCCGAUUUCCAUCCACCGUAAAACCAUCCUCACCGGCGCAACCUCCACCAUUCCGACAACCACUUGCCGCCGCCGAUAACGCUUCACCACCGUACUCUCAUUCAGGCCAUCGUACUCUCGCUCACGCCGUUGUGGAGGUCCGUUUUUCUCCUUCUCUCAUUUCCUAUCCCAUUUUACUCCCUCUCUCUACAAACCUAAUUUGUG